rnacentral:rRNA from 1 species
UGGGGAAUUUUGGACAAUGGGCGAAAGCCUGAUCCAGCAAUGCCGCGUGUGUGAAGAAGGCCUUCGGGUUGUAAAGCACUUUUGUCCGGAAAGAAAUGGCUCUGGUUAAUACCUGGGGUCGAUGACGGUACCGGAAGAAUAAGUACCGGCUAACUACGUGCCAGCAGCCGCGGUAAUACGUAGGGUCCAAGCGUUAAUCGGAAUUACUGGGCGUAAAGCGUGCGCAGGCGGUUGUGCAAGACCGAUGUGAAAUCCCCGAGCUUAACUUGGGAAUUGCAUUGGGGACUGCACGGCUAGAGUGUGUCAGAGGGGGGUAGAAUUCCGCGUGUAGCAGUGAAAUGCGUAGAGAUGUGGAGGAAUACCGAUGGCGAAGGCAGCCCCCUGGGAUAACACUGACGCUCAUGCACGAAAGCGUGGGGAGCAAACAGG